UCCUCCCUCAAACCCCUGGGUUUGGUGUUGGACUCUGUGGUGCGCUGGCACCACUGGUCUCAAAGACAAUGACGGCGUCCGUGGGACCCUCGGUGCAACGAGCUUUUCGAAGCACGCGUCGAGUGGACAGUCUCUCCGGGCCGGUCACCUCUCCAAUUUUUCUCA
rnacentral:misc_RNA from 1 species